rnacentral:rRNA from 1 species
UACGGGGGGGGCAAGCGUUGUUCGGAAUUACUGGGCGUAAAGGGCUCGUAGGCGGCCAACUAAGUCAUACGUGAAAUCCCUCGGCUUAACCGGGGAACUGCGUCUGAUACUGGAUGGCUUGAGAUUGGGAGAGGGAUGCGGAAUUCCAGGUGUAGCGGUGAAAUGCGUAGAUAUCUGGAGGAACACCGGUGGCGAAGGCGGGUCUCUGGGCAGUAACUGACGCUGAGGAGCGAAAGCGUGGGGAGCGAACAGG